GGAGGUGCCAGGGAAAUACCACAGCUCAGUGGUGGGGCAUCUGCUUUACACAAAGAAAGUUCCAGGUUCAAACCCUGGCAUCUUCA